UAGGGAAUCUUCCGCAAUGGGCGAAAGCCUGACGGAGCAACGCCGCGUGAGUGAUGAAGGUCUUCGGAUCGUAAAACUCUGUUAUUAGGGAAGAACAUAUGUGUAAGUAACUGUGCACAUCUUGACGGUACCUUAUCAGAAAGCCACGGCUAACUACGUGCCAGCAGCCGCGGUAAUACGUAGGUGGCAAGCGUUAUCCGGAAUUAUUGGGCGUAAAGCGCGCGUAGGCGGUUUUUUAAGUCUGAUGUGAAAGCCCACGGCUCAACCGUGGAGGGUCAUUGGAAACUGGAAAACUUGAGUGCAGAAGAGGAAAGUGGAAUUCCAUGUGUAGCGGUGAAAUGCGCAGAGAUAUGGAGGAACACCAGUGGCGAAGGCGACUUUCUGGUCUGUAACUGACGCUGAUGUGCGAAAGCGUGGGGAUCAAACAGGAAUAGAUACCCUGGAGUCCACCGCCGUAAACAUAUGUUGAUGCUAAGUGUUAGGGGGUUUCCGCCCCCUUAGUGCUGCAGCUAACGCAUUAAGCACUCCGCCUGGGGAGUACGACCGCAAGGGUUGA
rnacentral:rRNA from 1 species